rnacentral:siRNA from 1 species
AGAGGCCUUAAACAAUACACUGA